AAGGAUCAUUAAUAAACGGCGAAGCUCGCAAGAGCUUAGCUUUAUAUUAUCCAUAACACCUGUGAACUAUUUGCCUUCUUGUCAUGAGAAGGUACACCUUACAAACAUAACUGUAAUGAAUGUAAUCUAUUAUAACAUAAUACAACUUUCAACAACGGAUCUCUUGGCUCUCGCAUCGAUGAAGAACGCAGCGAAAUGCGAUAAGUAAUGUGAAUUGCAGAAUUCAGUGAAUCAUCGAAUCUUUGAACGCAACUUGCGCCCUUUGGUAUUCCGAAGGGCAUGCCUGUUUGAGUGUCAUAUAAACCUCACCUCUACUGUUUUUAAUUGAACAUGUGGAUUGGUGCUUUGGGCGUCUGCCGUUUACUCUGGCUCGCCUUAAAUGUCUAAGUGGAAUGCGUAAUAAGUCUUCGCAACCCUCCACUCUAAUACAACUUUAUAUUCUGACCUCAAAUCAGGUAGGACUACCCGCUGAACUUAA
rnacentral:rRNA from 1 species